rnacentral:rRNA from 1 species
GUCCAUGCCGUAAACGAUGUCAACUAGGUGUUGGGGAACUUGAUUCCUUAGUGCCGCAGCUAACGCAUUAAGUUGACCGCCUGGGGAGUACGGUCGCAAGACUAAAACUCAAAUGAAUUGACGGGGGCCCGCACAAGCGGUGGAGCAUGUGGUUUAAUUCGAUGCAACGCGAAGAACCUUACCUACUCUUGACAUCCAGAGAAUCCUGUAGAGAUACGGGAGUGCCUUCGGGAAUUCUGAGACAGGUGCUGCAUGGCUGUCGU